UACGUAGGGGGCGAGCGUUGUCCGGAUUUAUUGGGCGUAAAGAGCUCGUAGGCGGCUUGGCAAGUCGGGUGUGAAACCUCCAGGCUCAACCUGGAGACGCCACUCGAUACUGCCAUGGCUAGAGUCCGGUAGGGGACCACGGAAUUCCUGGUGUAGCGGUGAAAUGCGCAGAUAUCAGGAGGAACACCGGUGGCGAAGGUGGCAUCCUGGACCGAUACUGACGCUGAGGAGCGAAAGCCAGGGGAGCAAACGGG
rnacentral:rRNA from 1 species